AGGAUAAUAGUUAAUUUUAACAUUUAGGUUGCAUCUAAAAAAAAUUGAUUUUUAUCAAUUUAUCUUA
rnacentral:tRNA from 1 species